CGGCAAUGUAAAAUUUUGAAAGGUAUGCAAUUUAUUCAUACAUCUUUGAUUGCAUUCAUUGUAUCAUCUCUUCCGUUUAGUCAACGGGGAUUGGGGCGAAUGGGGAUCUUGGGCGAGCUGUUCGGUCACAUGUGAUAUAGGAUGGAAUUACCGUAAACGAAAAUGCGACAAUCCUAAGCCUAAGUAUGGUGGAAAACCAUGCAAUCCAGAGGAGGGGACUGGUCGACGAAGUUGUUCCGUGUAUAAGGAAUGCGAUGGUAAGAAUGUCGGAAAGUUUCGCGAUGUGCGCAUGUGCGUUACUAUUUGAGCUUUAUAUAGAAUUAUAUAACUGGAGUGAAGACUUCGAAUCCGU
rnacentral:lncRNA from 1 species